GGGCCAUUAGCUCAGUCGGUUAGAGCAGAGGACUCAUAAUCCUUUGGUCCCCGGUUCAAGUCCAGGAUGGCCCA
rnacentral:tRNA from 2 species